rnacentral:lncRNA from 1 species
ACUUGUCCGCUUGUUUUACUUUUUGACACAUCUAAUUAUAUCCAGUUAUAUAACAAAAGAGUUAUGUAACAAAUCAGUUUUCAGAUUGAUCCUAUUCAAAAACCUUGCCAUUGUUUUCAGAUUUUCUUUUUGAAGAAAGGAAGCCAUUCAGAUUGUUGCCACCGUCUAGGAGACUGAUCCAAGAGCACUAUUGCAACACUGUCCUUCACCUUUCCAGAUCAGGAUCUUGUCCUUUUCCCUGCCACUUUUCCCCAGGAUCCAGAAGUUACAUCAUGCUGCCAGCGGAUGUGGAGCUGAAGUGGAGAGAGCACCUCAAAGAUCAAAAAAGGCAUACCGUGUGCUCCUGGAUCUCCGGUGGUCUGCAGGGCUAUAUGUGGCAUAGUCAGCUAUGCCCCUAGAAUCUGG